rnacentral:tRNA from 1 species
UUAAAUUUAGUAAAUUAUUACAUUUCAUUUACAAUGAAAAAGUCUACAUAGAAUUUAAU